AGCGAACGCUGGCGGCAGGCCUAAUACAUGCAAGUCGAGCGGCCCUUCGGGGCAGCGGCGGACGGGUGAGUAACGCGUGGGAACGUGCCCUUUGGUACGGGAUAACUGAGGGAAACUUCAGCUAAUACCGUAUGUGCCCUACGGGGGAAAGAUUUAUCGCCAUUGGAGCGGCCCGCGUUGGAUUAGCUAGUUGGUGGGGUAAAGGCUCACCAAGGCUACGAUCCAUAGCUGGUCUGAGAGGAUGAUCAGCCACACUGGGACUGAGACACGGCCCAGACUCCUACGGGAGGCAGCAGUAGGGAAUCUUGCGCAAUGGGCGAAAGCCUGACGCAGCCAUGCCGCGUGAAUGAUGAAGGUCUUAGGAUUGUAAAAUUCUUUCACCGGGGAAGAUAAUGACGGUACCCGGAGAAGAAGCCCCGGCUAACUUCGUGCCAGCAGCCGCGGUAAUACGAAGGGGGCUAGCGUUGCUCGGAAUUACUGGGCGUAAAGGGCGCGUAGGCGGAUGUUUAAGUCGGGGGUGAAAGCCCGGGGCUCAACCUCGGAAUUGCCUUCGAUACUGGACAUCUUGAGUACGGGAGAGGUGAGUGGAACUCCGAGUGUAGAGGUGAAAUUCGUAGAUAUUCGGAAGAACACCAGUGGCGAAGGCGACUCACUGGCCCGUUACUG
rnacentral:rRNA from 1 species